CCCGGCGAUCAUUGCGUCUCGAAGCUGCCGGAACUCUGGCGGGGAGGGGAAGGAAAGAGAAAUAGAGGAGAGGGUGAGAGGGUAUCAGGGUCGGGAGGUGUGACUCCUCCUAGCGGGGAAUUGAAGAGGUUUGCGCUGUGCGCUUGUGUGUGAGUGUGAGCGUGAGAGCUUGGUGCCAGAAAGCCAAAGCUGGGAAACCUGGCCUUGGUUUCAUAGCCAGUUAACCUUGUGAGCCCAGCCAGUGACCUUGACAUCAGGGAAACUUCCUGAACUCCAAACCCACUUAUCUGCCUUAUCUGUUGGCUCUCCCACUUCGCAUACAGAUUUGUGCAUUAAAAGAACGGAUACUUAUCUGCAUGCACAGUUCUUAAUGGUAUAGCAAAGAGCAAGACAAGUUUGGGCUCUUAACAGUGUUUACAUUCUAGGGAUAGGAACAUACAAAAAAGAAGGUGCUGUAUUUAAGCAGAAGGUGGUUGGAAACAGAUUGAACCUUAAUGUGCAUUUUAACUUUUUCUCAUUUUUUUUGUUCUUGGCCAGCAUCUGAAACAAUUUCCUUGUAUUCUCGGAAGGCUGGAUAGCAGAUACCAUCGUCCCGGCCGAAUUCUUUCACUUUUCUGCUUUAAUCCCUUGAAUUUGAACACAGUAUCCACUCUCUUAGUUUAUCAUCCAAUUUUAAUUGUUCACAUAGAGUUUAUAAUUAUUUGAUGUUUAUCUUGUUUCCCACAAAUCCUUUUGUUCACCAUGAUGCUUCCAGAGUCCAAACUAGGCCUCUCAAAAGUAUUUGGUGAAUGAAGUAGUGUGGAAAAUGCUUUUGACAAAGGACAGAGUGGAUGCUGUUCGGAGGAGUAGUUUAGGAGAGAAAUUAAGGUGGUGAUGGAAGCAAAGACCAAUUGAUCUAUUUGAAAUAGAAGGUAACAUUAAGGGACGGUUUAGAUAUGACAGUGGAAAACUAGCCGGGUUAGAGUAACCCCUGCAUUUCUAGCUUGCAUAACUGGAUGGCUAAUGGAGUUAACCGCUGAGAAUAAGGAAGCUAGAAAAGGAACGGGUUUGCAGUGAAAACAUAGGAGUUUGGUUGCCUUGGAGACAUCCAAGAGAAGUUAAGUAGGCAUCAUUGAUGCCUAGCUGUGAGUAUAGAGCAUAAGAAAAAAAAAAGCUGCAUGUUGUGCAUACUUCAUAGUGAAGUUCUGGGAGCCCAGAUGCUCAGACUUUCCCACCGCAGUGCCCCUAGUGGCAGAAGAUAAGAAUGCAGGUGGCUGGACUCUAAAGAGACAACAAAGAAAGAAGCAAUGGUUCUGGAGUCACCCCCAGAAAAGACUUUAUGAACCAGAUGAAUAAUAUCUGGCAGGGACCAACUCUGGCUACCUCUCACACCGUCCCAAACCCUAACGCCCCAGGAUGGUCUUCACCUUCCAUCACAAUAUGAUUCCAGAAGCCUGGCUAGGACGGAAUGGAGAAACAACAGUUGGUGGUUUCCCAGGUCCCUUCUGGAAAGUCAGAGCGAGGCUGGCGUUGGCAACCUGACUGUCCUCAGGCACAGCAGCUGUUGUAACAACUGGUCUCAUCCGAGUCUCCAGCUUCACAACCCUGCCCAUGAAUCCAUUCAAGAUUCUCAGGAUCUCAAGGAAUCUCCAGCUCCUUGAUGUGAUGAAGUCUGUGUUAGUCAGCUCUCAACUGCUGUGACAAAUACCUGAGAGAAGUCAAUUUUGGCCUGUGCUAGCCCAGGAUCUCAUGGCAGAAGAGGGCUGUUCAUCUCACCAGCACCUGGGAAGCCCAAAGGAAGAGCGUGGAAGAGGCGGGGCCAGGGUCCCAAUAUCCCAUUCAGGGGCACACCCCCAGUGACCUCACUUCCUUUCACUGGGCCCCGCCUCCUAAAGCUUCCACCACUUUCCAAUAGCACCACAGAGGACCAAACCAUCAGCACAGGGGGACCAUUUAGGAUCCAAACCAUGGUACCACCUAAAGGAGGAACCUCCUCUGCCCCACCCUGCUCCGGUCAGAAUCUCUCUGCAUGACAUUUGUCACAGCUUCUCAUGGAGACACCCUGACACCUUCUCAUGGAGAACUUGUUCAUUUCUCCAUGGAUGACAAUUCCAGGUGGCAUGUGUUCCUUCUAUAGAGUGGUCUGCUUUCCAAACAUGCCUUCUCAGAGAAGCUCAUUUUGCCAUCUGUAUUGGGAACCUGAGAUGUGACAACGCAGGAUCUAAGUGGAGUGGCAUGGAAGCCCUUCUGUUCCUCCUGGAGACUGUGAACCAGUCAGUUGCCUUUGACUCACCAUCCUGCUAUCUUAUCUUCUCAGCUGAAAUGAGUUUCAAGUUGUCCUCCUUCCUUUCAUCCUUCAUUCUGAAAAUGGCACAUGCCGUUAGUAGUCAGGGACCUUUCUGCUCACCUCUUGACCGUGUGCUCAUUUCCACUCUUUUGAUGUCCAUAGUGACUUUCGUCAGACACCUGCCCUGGAGCAGGGGCCUCCUGCUUGGUUUUUCUGUCUUCCAUCUAGCUGUGCUAGGGCUAGGAGAACAUCGGGAACAAGGAACAAGAAUGCUUUCCCUUUCCCUCAAGGCUGCAGUUCCUAGUGGACCACAGUUUCAUACAGUGAUCUCUAAGACAAGGUCAAAGUCUUGGGCUUUUCUUGUAUUCUCCUAGCUCUUGGGAACAUAGCAAGGCCUCAGUAAGCUGUGUUCAUCACUGAAUACAUUCUGCUGUGGUCUCUCUGACUCUGUGCCCCUGGGCUAGGCUGGGUCUAUUAUUCAUGCAAUGAAGAGAAUGUGAAAAACAAAUCCAUGGUCAAAUGUCUCCAUUUACACUAUACUUGAACCUAGCCACAGCAUAAUCCCAUGAGGCUUGAGGAAUCAGCUCUGGGGUACUCCCUGCCCCUUGACUGACUUAGUCAUUGUUAUGUUUUGGCUAUGAGAUGGUGGUGCACCUGACUUUUAUGGGUGAUGGACGUGAACUGUUGGGUUCGCCCUCUUCACUUCUGAUCUUGCCAGGACAAGAACGUAGCCCCAAGCCUGCUGCUCCUGCGUCAGUUCAAGCCUCAGAACGAGACAGGGCUGAUGGCUGCCCAGCUGACCUGGAAAUAGAUGCUUCCUGCUCUGCACAUCUGUAGUUGCCAUAGAGCAAAAGUUGAUAGAUGCAGAAUGCAAAGCCCCUUCCCAGGGCCCCCCCCCAUGGUUCUUGGUGUCCUCUUUAAAGGCAUUUGGGGACACUUUUGCCCUUAUUGAUUGCAUUCCACAGCUUGAUCCUGCCUUAGGGCUUUGAUCUCCACUUAUAAUGAACUUUUUUUUCUACUAUGUGAUUGGAUCUCUGCUGGUGAUAAUUGCGGUGAAGCAGGUUAAGGGGACAGUGAGUCCUGGCAGGUGCAGAAGGAAGCUGUUUUAGAUGGAGUGAUAUGAAGAGGUGACAUUUGUGCAGAGAGCUGGAGGAGGAUUGAGUGGUAACUGAAGGCAGGUGGGAUGAGACUGGAGGAAGUAGGUCAUUGAGGGUUGCCUUUGGAGUAUGUGCUUUUGAUCAGGCGAGUGGAGUCUCUCUCUGCUUCCAUAUCAUCCUGUGAGCUGCUUCCCCCCGCCACACUCCUCCGCCAUGAUGCUCAGCCUCACCUAGAGUCCUGAGGAAUGGAGCCUGUGUAUGGAGUGAGACCUCUGAAACCAUGAGCCCCCAAAUAAACUUCCCUCCUCUACGAUUGUUCUGGUUGGGCCUUUUGAUCACAGCAGUGAAAAGGCUGGCCAAAACUUGCACUUCUACUUACCCCCUGGGGAAAACCACAUACUACCACCAGGUGGCUUCCCAAGGCACUAGAUUUGAAGCCACUCCUGCUGUCUCGCCACACCUGAAAGCAGGAAGUGUCAAGUGGAAUCUGUCACCGAUGUUUCUAUUUGGGCUGCUGAUGGGGGUCUGUGCAAAAUGAGAUCUGAUUCGCCUUGUCGAGGGGUAGUUACUCUGGGAUGGUCUUUGGCUUCUCUGCUCACUUCAUCCAUUUCGAACUAUUCCCAGGUCUCUAUUCUCAGAGGCAGCUGCAAAUUCGGAGCACACAGAUGUACCCUCCGUCUUAGAUUACUCUUGCCAACGCACAUUACCUUAUGUUUAUUUGAGUUAAGUUUCAUCUGCCUGCAGGCUGCGCAAUCCCCCAAAGUGUUUCCAUGCAUCUGGAAUGUCUUGCAGAUCUCCUUAGUUUUUAUUAGCCAAAACAAUUUGGAGCCAGUUGAAAUCUCUGGGAAGAGAUUAAGUGACAAUUAUGUGACAAUUGCUCAUGUAAUCUCUGACCAGGUAGCUGAGGCAGGGCCUGCUGGGGUGCAAGGAAGGAGAGCGCUCCUCUUUGCUGGUCCUGGUCUUGAACUCAGCCCUGGAAAGGCGCCAGGGAGCUCAUCUUGGUGUUUGCUUCUGCGAGUGGGAUAGGUAGAUGUCUGUGCUUCAACCAGGGCUUGAGAGACACUCGUGCUGGGAGCCAGGGGAGGCGCAUUGCAUAAGGUUCGUUUUGUCUGGGCAAAUUAGUUACCAGAGCAAGAGAGCCAGAGGAGGGAACAGAACAAGAACUGGCAGGAAGAGAACUGGGGAGAAGGAGGCUCACGUAGCAGCCUGUUCAGAUACGUUAAAAUACAGGCAAUCGGGGGAGGAGAGACAGGAGGGACCCAGGGACUUGUGUACAGAGUCUGAGCCAUGGCUUCCUGAAAGCUUGGCAUGAGGGACACAGCAAGGAUGGAAGCCACUGCCCCAAGACUCCAGAUAAAGAUGGCAAAGAGCAGCCCAAGCUGACGGGAGGGGGGACAAUGAAAGGAGCCACUUGCAAGAGCCCGUUCUCUUUGAGCUUGGCUGGAACCAGGCUCUUGUGUGUGGGCAGCGUCUGAGCAGAUCCCAGAAUGUUCCAACGAGCUAAUCUAGUCAGCUUCAAGCUGUUCCACAGACAGUGGGUGUGAAUCCAAAAUCAUCCUAGAUGUUCAGCUUUAUAAUGUUUCUUUUAAAAAGAAGAAGAAGAAGAAAAAGGCAUGGGAGAGACACCAAACCCAAAUGAUUCCUUUAGCUCUGAGCGGGUGACCUGCGAAGGCAUCGUCCAGUUAGUUGGCAAAUGUCGUGUGCCCAGGGUGGGAAGGAGGGCUGCGGAUGCUUCUUCCCUCCCAGCACCAUCCUUGGAAGGGCUUCUUUCUCUUUCUGCCUCAAGGAUACUCAUCUUAUUUCUGUUCCAGUUUUAGAAACAGGUCAGCAGCAUCCCACUCACCUCCAGUCCCUAGAGGUGGGUCCCUUUGUUUCCAUGGUUACUUUUUUGUUUUAAUUCAGUACUGGGAAUUGAACCUAGGGGUGUUCUACCUCUGAACUAUAUUCGCAACCCUUUUUCAUUAAUUAAUUAUUUUGCGGGGUCUAGGGGUUGAA